rnacentral:rRNA from 1 species
UCAGGACGAACGCUGGCGGCGUGCUUAACACAUGCAAGUCGAGCGGUAAGGCCCUUCGGGGUACACGAGCGGCGAACGGGUGAGUAACACGUGAGCAACCUGCCCCUGACUCCGGGAUAAGCGGCGGAAACGCCGUCUAAUACCGGAUACGACUCUCCGGCUCAUGCUGGAGGGUGGAAAGUUUUUUCGGUUGGGGAUGGGCUCGCGGCCUAUCAGUUUGUUGGUGGGGUAACGGCCUACCAAGGCGAUUACGGGUAGCCGGCCUGAGAGGGUGACCGGCCACACUGGGACUGAGACACGGCCCAGACUCCUGCGGGAGGCAGCAGUGGGGAAUCUUGCGCAAUGGGCGAAAGCCUAGACGCAGCGACGCCGCGUGGGGGAUGACGGUCCUUCGGGUUAGUAAACCUCUUUUACCACUUACGCAGGCCCGGGGUGUUCUCCGGGUUGACGGUCAGUGGGGAAUAAGGACCGGCUAACUACGUGCCAGCAGCCGC